rnacentral:rRNA from 1 species
AUUGAACGCUGGCAGAAUGCUUUACACAUGCAAGUCGAACGGCAACAGGUUAAGCUGACGAGUGGCGAACGGGUGAGUAAUAUAUCGGAACGUGCCCAGUCGUGGGGGAUAACGUAGCGAAAGCUACGCUAAUACCGCAUACGAUCUACGGAUGAAAGCGGGGGAUCGCAAGACCUCGCGCGUUUGGAGCGGCCGAUAUCAGAUUAGGUUGUUGGUGAGGUAAAAGCUCACCAAGCCUGCGAUCUGUAGCUGGUCUGAGAGGACGACCAGCCACAGUGGAAGUGCGACGCGGUCCAGACUACUACGGGAGGCAGGAGUGGGGAAGUUUGGACGGUGGACGCAAGUCUGAUCCAGCAAUGCCACGUGCAGGACGAAGGCCUUCGGGUUGUGAACUGCUUUUGUACGGAACGAAACGGUGAGCUCUAAUACAGUUUGCUAAUGACGGGACCGUAAGAAUGAGCACCGGCUAACUACGUGCCAGCCGCCGCGGUAA